AAAUGACGGUACCUGACUAAGAAGCUCCGGCUAAAUACGUGCCAGCAGCCGCGGUAAUACGUAUGGAGCAAGCGUUAUCCGGAUUUACUGGGUGUAAAGGGAGCGUAGACGGCUGUGUAAGUCUGAAGUGAAAGCCCGGGGCUCAACCCCGGGACUGCUUUGGAAACUAUGCAGCUAGAGUGUCGGAGAGGUAAGUGGAAUUCCCAGUGUAGCGGUGAAAUGCGUAGAUAUUGGGAGGAACACCAG
rnacentral:rRNA from 1 species